AUCCAACUGACGAUUCCUAAAUGGGAUGAAAUAUGCGUCCUGGAU
rnacentral:hammerhead_ribozyme from 1 species